ACCUGGCUGGCUCAGUCGGUAGAGCAUGCGACUCUUGAUCUCAAGAUCAUGAGUUCAAGACCCACGUUGGGCA
rnacentral:tRNA from 1 species